rnacentral:rRNA from 1 species
UACGUAGGGUGCGAGCGUUGUCCGGAAUUAUUGGGCGUAAAGAGCUCGUAGGCGGUGUGUCACGUCGUUCGUGAAAACCUGCAGCUUAACUGUGGGCGUGCGGUCGAUACGGGCAUCACUGGAGUUCGGCAGGGGAGACUGGAAUUCCUGGUGUAGCGGUGAAAUGCGCAGAUAUCAGGAGGAACACCGGUGGCGAAGGCGGCUCACUGGCCCGGUACUGACGCUGAGGUGCGAAAGCGUGGGUAGCAAACAGG